rfam:Myotis lucifugus cont2.46388, whole genome shotgun sequence.
GAGACACUGUUAUGGGGCAAGAUUUGCUUCAGUGGGGCUUUGGUGCUCACUGAGUCUGCCCCCUGAGUGUGUCCCU